rnacentral:rRNA from 1 species
UGCCAGCCGCCGCGGUAAUACGGAGGGUGCAAGCGUUGUUCGGAAUUAUUGGGCGUAAAGCGCGUGUAGGCGGUUCGUUAAGUCUGAUGUGAAAGCCCGGGGCUCAACUGUGGAAUUGCCAUUGAAACUGGUGGGCUUGAGUGUCGUUGAGGCAGGCGGAAUUUAUGGUGUAGCGGUGAAAUGCAUAGAUACCAUAAAGAACACCGAUAGCGAAGGCAGCUUGCUUAGCGACAACUGACACUAAUGCACGAAAGCGUGGGUAGCGAACAGGAUUAGAUA